rnacentral:tRNA from 1 species
GUCUGUAGCUCAGCUUGGUUAGAGCGCGUGGAUGGCAUUCAUGAGGUCACAGGUUCAAAUCCUGAGCAACGGUUA